GAUGAACGCUGGCGGCGUGCCUAAUACAUGCAAGUCGAGCGAACAGACGAGGAGCUUGCUCCUCUGACGUUAGCGGCGGACGGGUGAGUAACACGUGGAUAACCUACCUAUAAGACUGGGAUAACUUCGGGAAACCGGCGCUAAUACCGGAUAAUAUAUUGAACCGCAUGGUUCAAUAGUGAAAGACGGUUUUGCUGUCACUUAUAGAUGGAUCUGCGCCGCAUUAGCUAGUUGGUAAGGUAACGGCUUACCAAGGCAACGAUGCGUAGCCGACCGGCGAGGGUGAUCGGCCACACUGGAACGGAGACACGGUCCAGACUCCUACGGGAGGCAGCAGUAGGGAAUCUUCCGCAAUGGGCGAAAGCCUGACGGAGCAACGCCGCGUGAGUGAUGAAGGUCUUCGGAUCGUAAAACUCUGUUAUUAGGGAAGAACAAAUGUGUAAGUAACUAUGCACGUCUUGACGGUACCUAAUCAGAAAGCCACGGCUAACUACGUG
rnacentral:rRNA from 1 species